AAAUAGGUUCCAACAACAUUACUACGCGCAGGAAACCUCUCUCUAAACACUCUCUCCCAAAGGCGAAACCCUAGCUCCUCCUUCGUUCGGGUGGCCGACGGUGUUGCUCUUUUGCUUUCUUCAUUUCUUCGUCUUCGCCUCUCUUUUCCCUCCUCCUCUCUGUUUCCUUUCUCGGAGCUCUGAUUCUGGCGCCACCGCGCGGUGUAGAUCUGGCGCGUCGGACCUGGAUCUCCGGAGAAGCGAGGUGGAGGAGUGGAUGUACGGUUCCUUUAGUCAAACGGAGUGGUGGUGGCUCAGAUCUGGUUCUGUGGAGAGCUCUGCUUCUUCCUCUGCUUCCUCUGUUUGAUUUUCUCGGUUCUCUGUAGCAGAGGCGUGUGCGAAAAGGCGAGCAGCUGGGUUUGUCAACCACAACAACCCUUUUCGGGUGGCGGUGCGUGUGGAGUCAACAUGACUGUGGACUGGUGUAGGGCUGUCCUGGUCCGCUCCGCUCUGACUUCUGGUGGAGUAGUUGGCUCUGCCUCUUUGGUAUAGGUUCGAUAGCGUGUGGCGGCUCAUGGUCGUUCCUUCUCCAAAUAAAGCUCGGCUUGGUGGGGCGUGUGGUCUUGGUCUCGAGUGUAGCUGUCUGUCCAUAAAGUUUGCUGUGUGGGAGUGCUUAGCAAGCUGUUUUUGACAACCCGAUCAUUAAGAACAGGUCACCGGGUACGCCUAAUUCUACCGGGCCCAGCUCUCGCUAUAACUGCGGGUUGAUUCCGCGGCAAGCGAAUGUUCCUCUCCGUUGUAUCUUUUGUGUACUGCAAUUGUGCUUAAUGUCAUUUCAUGUGUUUCUUUAGGUUUGAGUUUGUGUUAGUUUUCUUUAUGUUGAUCUGCUACUAGUAUUCUCUGUCAA